UACGUAGGGUGCAAGCGUUGUCCGGAAUUAUUGGGCGUAAAGAGCUCGUAGGCGGUUUGUCGCGUCGGCUGUGAAAACCUGGGGCUCAACCCCGGGCCUGCAGCCGAUACGGGCAAACUAGAAUUCGGUAGGGGAGACUGGAAUUCCUGGUGUAGCGGUGAAAUGCGCAGAUAUCAGGAGGAACACCGGUGGCGAAGGCGGGUCUCUGGGCCGAUAUUGACGCUGGAGGAGCGAAAGCGUGGGGAGCAAACAGG
rnacentral:rRNA from 1 species